AUUGCAAAACAGAAAAAGAUGCGGGUAUAGCACAAACUUCUCUAUGUUACAAUGGAGCUCCAGAAGAUUUACGUCCCGUAUCAAUCAAGACAUGUGAAGAUAGGCAUAUUUAUAUACCCCAGAGGUAAAAGUUCAGACUGGAUGUUUAAAGAUCUCAGCUUAUUCACUCUAAUACUUAAAUCCAAAGAUGAUACUGGAUGCAUUCACUUCUCCCAGCUUGACAAAAUGUACCAUUCUGGUUUGAUGGAUAAUGCUGCUAAAUUGAAGAUGUUAUCUCUCUCAUUCACAUACCUAUAUUUUUCUUCUACCAGGUGUUGCCAUGACACAGGACAGCUCCUAGAAAUUCUACCAGUAGGAAGAGCUAGCAACAAAAUUUAAUAAAAUAUACGCAGGAAGAUUCCACCUCUUCUGUCAUACCACCACCAUCCUCCUCUGAUGUGGGCCACCAAAGUAAAAUAGAAAACAUUACUUUGGGAGCAGCGGUCAUAGGUAGUUUCAGCUGGUAUAACCUCUCUAUGUUUUCUGCAUUGAAAGUAAGUGUUUAUUACUUGGAAACCCAGAAAAGACCUGUCCUUUAAUCAUUUAAAUGUGGGAUCUGAAAUGUUAUAAAAUGCACCUGUUAGAGACUGUGCUGGAAUUCAAUUAGCUCUUAUGUGAUUUUUGCAGCUGAACUAAUUGGCUGAAAGAUUAUACUGGAUAAAUACAAGAUAUAAAAUGGAUUAUCAGGGAAGAAAUCUAGAGAAAUGUCAUGAUUUCACUUUGUAAUUUUGUACAUAAAAUGACAAUUACAUUACUAUUCUGCUUUAAGUAGAACACAACCAGAUUUGUAUUACUUGUAUAUUUUGAAUUUUCAAAAGAACAAUAUUCUAGUUAAUACUUGUGUUAAAUGUCAAGUGCUUUUGAGUAGGAAAAAAACUGCUCUACUACAAUGAUUAUAGUUUAUAAAUUGUGAACAUUUAUUUCCAUUUAUCAUUUAUGUUAUUUGUAAUGCUUGACUAGCAUAACUUCACAUAAAUCGAAUUGAUGAGACCAAGCUAAGUGGUGCAGUUGACAUGCUAGAUGGGAGGGAUUGCAUUCAGAGGGACAUGGACAGGCUUGAGAAUUAGGCCCAUGCCAACCUCAUUAAGUUCAACAAGACCAACUGCAAGGUCCUGGGUUAGAACAAUCCCAAGAACAGAUACAGGUUGGGCAGAGAAUGACUUUAGAGCAGCCCUCAGGAGAAGGAUUUGGGAGUGUUUGUUGAUGAAAGACUGAACAUGAGCUGGCAAUGUGUGCUUGCAGCGCAGAAGGCCAACUGUAUCCUGGGUUGCAUCAAGAGAAGCGUGACCAGUAAGCCAAGGGAGGUGAUUCUGCCCCUCCACUCUGCUCUUAUGAGAGCGCACCUGGAGUACUGCAUCCACUUCUGGGCCCCCAAUACAAGAAGGACAUGGAGCUGUUGGAAUGGGUCCAGAGGAGAGCCACAAAGAUGAUCAGGGGGCUGGAACACCUCUCCUACAGAGACAGGCUGAUAGAGCUAGGGCUCUUCAGACUGGAGAAGAGAAGACUCCAGGGAUGACCAUUCAGUGACUUUCCAGUCCCUGAAGAGGGCCUACAGGAAAACUGGGAAGGGACUGGUAAGGGCAUGGAAUGACAGAAUGAGGGGAAAUGACUUUCAGCUGGAAGAGGGUGGAUUUAGGCUAGAUGUUAGGAAGAAAUUCUUUACUGUGAGGGUGAUGAGACACUGGAACAGGUUGCCCAGUGAGGUUAUGGAUGCUGCCUCCCUGAAAGCAUUCAAGGCCAGGUUGGAUGGGUCUUUGAGCAACCUGGUCUAGAGAGUGGUGUCCCUGCCUAUAGUAGGAAGUUUGGAACUAGGUAAUCUUAAAGGUCCCCCCCAAAGCAAACCAUUCUAUGAUUCUAUGAUUAAGAAGCUUACUCUGACUUGUUAUUAAGAAAAAAGUAACAACAGAUUUUAAUUAACAUGCCUAACAUUAAUCUGUAAAUGCUUUAUAACAAUUUAAUAAUAGGAGUACAUUUUCCUUUAUGGCAGUACAACUAUCAAAUAUUUUAUUUUUAUGUGUGUCCACUAAGGAUUUUGUAGAUCUGUUUCACUGUAUGUUUUCAUUUUACAUUCUCUAGAUUGGUCUGGUAUCAGCUAAGUGAUACAUUUCCUAGCUUUACAUUGAACAAGUGGAACUUUGCUGUUUUACUAGUAUAAAUGAAAAUAAAGCAAAAUUAUGGGUUAGUAUCAUGUCAUGUUUUAGAAUAUUUAAAUUUUGAAAUUUUAUAUGUUUAUUGUACUUACAAGUUACACCUACCUGUAAAAUGUUUUUAUAUAGGAAAGGUAUAAGAACAAAAUGUGAACAUAAUACAAAAUGAUUUAUAACUCUACAUUAGUACUUGCACAAUUUUCACUAUCUUGUCAAAUUCUGUCCAAUAAUCCACCUAUCAAGAUAGGUACUAACAAAUGUUGGUCUUUUCCUCUAACCCCUCUUCAACCACAUUAGCAGCUCCCAUAGCUGCACAUUUACAUGAACUAUUGCUUACCCAAUCCAGAAAUCUUUGGUGUUCUACUGUUUCAUAAGAUCUGUGUCCAGAUCUUGCUCUAGAGUGGCCAUUAGAAUUAAUCAUGUUUCCAGGUGAGACUCCAAGUGUAUUUUGCUGUAAAUAAAUACAUAUAUGGAUAUAUAGAUUUUUACAGUGUAUACACUCAAUGGUAACUUAAUUUUCAUCUUUGUGGAGGAGCAGCUUAGCAGUGCACCAUCCUGGGAAAGCUGGAUGCUAUUGAGAUGUGCUCCAAGUGGCUCUGCCAGCUCCCGCUCACCAUUCAUCAGCCUUUGUGGACAAGGAGAGGAGAGAGUUGGAUCAUUACCCUGCCUCCUGACUGAGUUAUAUUUUCAAUAAGCUUGUUCAAACAAACCACCAACCCAUUUUAGCUGAAACCUUCGAAAUAAAUUCUACCUGAGGCAGAGUCCUGGCACAGAGAAUUUCUGCCUAAUGGGCUGAAGUCUGGCAGAGUUGUAAGUGGCUUCUGAGAGAAACAUUAGGUAUACUUCAAAAUGGGACAGAAAAAAAGCUUAAGCCUAGAGGAAUACAAGAAAAUUAUCAAGUAGGCAGUUCCAUUGCUGUGAAUAUUCAGUAUUGACUGAGAUGACAGGUCUUCUCAUUCUUCUCUUGUGUUUCUGUUCUGAGAUUUUUUUUUUUUUUAAAGCAACAUAAAAUCAGCCUGAAAAAGUUACCUUAGCAAUUCUUAGAACCAUUUCUUUCACUUGGAUUUUUUGUUACACUUUCUUUCUGUAUUUAUUUAUGUGAAAGAUGCAACAGAUUUUGACAGACAAAUGACUAUAAACUGUGGUUUAGUGGAAUGAAUGCAUCCUUUAUGAAGUUUUCUAGUCCUUGAGCAAGAGAAAGCUAACAUCUCUGCUGUGUACUUUAGCUGCUUCUGGUCAGUACUUGGAAAGCUGCCACUCCCCACUGGUUGUUGCUGUGGUUGGGAGCCUAAGUGAGAGAAAAGCUAUCAGGCAGCUGGAUACAACAUUAAUUAAUUUAUCUUGAAUGCCUCUUACUCUUUGAAAAACUGAGCCUACAUUACUGUCUACAUGUUUCAUAGCAUUUAUAAUAUUAAGAUUUUUUUUAAUACAUUAAAUGUUUAUACUUUUAGAACAAAUUGAUGAUCUUUUUCUAGUAGACAAUUUAUUUAAUCCAUGGUUUAAUCCAUGGUGUACUAUGCAGUAUGUGAUCGAAAUAUCUUGUCUGUCUCAGAGAAGUACCACAACACACAGGCCACUGAGUUUCCUAAUUUCAGAACAAAAAUAGCAAGAUUUUCUGACCCCGUAAAGAAUAAACAAGGGGCCCUUGCUGAGCUUGAUGUAAAUAUCUUCCUGGGUUCUAUGUUAAUUUUUACUUAAAAAUAGAAUUAAAAAAAUAAAAUAAAACAACACAGAUUUAAAUAAGAUCAGACAAGAAGCAGUGGAGACACUUUGAUCUAUUUUACUACAAUGGAAAAGGCUGUAGUACAAGAAUUCAUAACAGAAGGAUGUCCAGGAUGUUCAGGUUCAAAACAAAAUGAAAGUCAUUUUAUCACUGCAAGGUAGCCAUGCCACUUUGAAAGUCUACAGUAGAAUAACUACCUAGGACUUAUACUGAUAAUAACUAAAAAAUGCAAGUCUUGGAU